rnacentral:rRNA from 1 species
UUGGGCCUACGGGGGGCAGCAGUGAGGAAUAUUGGUCAAUGGGCGCGAGCCUGAACCAGCCACGUAGCGUGAAGGAUGACUGCCCUAUGGGUUGAAAACUUCUUUUAUAAAGGAAUAAAACGAGGCACGUGUGCCUUUUUGCAUGUACUUUAUGAAUAAGGAUCGGCUAACUCCGUGCCAGCAGCCGCGGUAAUACGGAGGAUCCGAGCGUUAUCCGGAUUUAUUGGGUUUAAAGGGAGCGUAGAUGGGUUGUUAAGUCAGUUGUGAAAGUUUGCGGCUCAACCGUAAAAUUGCAAUUGUUACUG